rnacentral:misc_RNA from 1 species
UCCGGUUUGGCACCGGCAGUCUUCCUAGAGUCCCCGACAUUACUCGCUGGCAACUAAGAACGGGGGUUGCGCUCGUUGCGGGACUUAACCCAACAUCUCACGACACGAGCUGACGACAGCCAUGCACCACCUGUGCACAGGCCCCGAAGGGCUGCCGUGUUUCCACGACAUUCCUGUGCAUGUCAAGCCCUGGUAAGGUUCUUCGCGUCGCGUCGAAUUAAACCACAUGCUCCGCUGCUUGUGCGGGUCCCCGUCAAUUCCUUUGAGUUUUAAUCUUGCGACCGUACUCCCCAGGCGGAAUGCUUAAUGCGUUAGCUGCGCCACCGACGGGCAAGCCCGCCGACGGCUGGCAUUCAUCGUUUACGGCGUGGACUAC